rnacentral:sRNA from 1 species
ACACCAGUAAAAUCUGGUGUCGGGAUUGGCGUCCUGAACCUAUUCUAAACGGCGCACAUACCGCGCAAGCGGUUUUUUU